GACGAACGCUGGCGGCGUGCUUAACACAUGCAAGUCGAACGGCAACGCCCUGCUUUCGUGGUGUGCUCGAGUGGCGAACGGGUGAGUAACACGUGAGUAACCUGCUCUUGACUUUGGGAUAACUUCAGGAAACUGGGGCUAAUCUCGGAUAGGAGCUCCUGCUGCAUGGUGGGGGUGGGAACGUUUCGGCUGGUGGGGUUGGAUUCGCGGCUUAUCGGCUAGUUGGUGGGGUAGUGGCAUACCAAGGCUUUGACGGGUCGCCCGCCUGAGAGGGGGGCCGGGCACAAUAGUACUACGGGAGGGAGCAGUGGGGAAUAGGGGGCAAUGGGGGGGAGCCUGACCCAAUGAGACGGAGUGUGAUGCGAAGGCGCCGCGUGCGGGAAGACGGCCUGUGGGUAAUGAAAAGCUUUAGCCUAAGACGAAGCGGUAGUGACGGUAAUGGAUGAAGAAGCACCGGCUAACUACGUG
rnacentral:rRNA from 1 species